rnacentral:rRNA from 1 species
GGCCCGCACAAGCGGUGGAGUAUGUGGUUUAAUUCGACGCAACGCGCAGAACCUUACCCAGCCUUGACAUCUUCAGAAUCCCUGCGAAAUCAGGGAGUGCCUCCUUACGGAGGAAUUGAAUGACAGGUGCUGCAUGGCUGUCGUCAGCUCGUGUCGUGAGAUGUUCGGUUAAGUCCGGCAACGAGCGCAACCCCUAUCGUUAGUUGCUACCAGUUCGGCUGGGCACUCUAGCGAGACUCCCGGUGUUAAACCGGCGGAAGAUGGGGAUGACGUCAAGUCCUCAUGGCCCUUAUGGCUGGGGCUACACACGUACUACAAUGGCAACUACAGAGGGCAGCGAGACCGCAAGGUGGAGCCAAUCCCAAAAAGGUUGCCUCAGUUCGGAUUGGAGUCUGCAACUCGACUCCAUGAAGUUGGAAUCGCUAGUAAUCG